GCACCAGCAAAAUCUGGUGCCGGGAUUGGUCUCCUGCUAACUACGAGGCGCAUACACCGCGCGAGCGGUUUUUUU
rnacentral:sRNA from 1 species